CUUGCAGUCUUCCAGUGGCGUUUGGCCCUUUCAGUGUCUCCGUUUGUGCGUGUAGAAAGACAGCAGCCGCACGGACACCAGAUGACCCGUCUUUCCCUAAAGCCCUGGGAGCUUCGGGAGCCCCUUGCUGAGCCCGCGCUGCUGGGAAUGAGUGGAAGAAGGAGAGGGUACUGCGUCCGGAGCAGAGCUCGGGAGCAGUUACACAGGGAGCCGGGACAUGACUGAGGAAGGGCUCUCUGCAGAGCAGACGCGCGCCGACAGCGAGACAGUGACAACCUCAUCGUGCCGCCUCCUGCAGCUCCCUGCAGACCUCACCACCGGGAGGGUUCACCUUCACCCAGCCAUCCUGGGGCAUCAGCUUUGCACGCAGCUGCUCUGCCCCCUCGCCUGGUGUGAACCCCCGGAGGAGGGCCUACGACUUCGACACCCAGGUCACACUCACAGGACUGCGAGGGAGCAGGUCAUAGAGAGCGAAGGUCAGACAGAGGGAUGCUGGGAAGGAGGGUCGGUGGGCUUCAUGCUGCAGACACAGAAGCCACCAAGAAAUCUCUUCACAUAGGAGUUCGCCCUUCAGCACCACGGACAGCGACCAGGUGCUUCCCAGCAAGGGACUGACUUGCGCCGUCCACAGCCAUGAGGGGACAUUUACUAGGAGAGCACAGGAAAAGAAGAAUAGAGAAACAGAGUAGCAGUGCCUCACCGAAGCCAGGAGCUAGCACAUGAGGCACCAGGCACCAUGUCUGCUCCAUCUCUCCUGCCAGCCUGCUACACGGCACCUCUCCUGCUUCUCACUAUUCACCACUGCAUCCUGCUGUCUUUCUGUCCCCUGGAUUUUCUCCAUGGCAACUGCCUGACCCUAGUCUUCAGUGCUGUCUUUGUUUUGCCAACAAAACAGAAACGACUUCCUGAUUUUUCUCCUCACAUCCUUACUUGCCAAUUUACACCUCUUUAUUUUCUUCACGACAGCCAGAGGAAUUCUCCAACACUGGAAAUGGUGUCCUAUGCUUUCUCUCACUCCCGGGAGAUGGACAAUGAAUUCUCAGCAUGGUUUGGAGCUGGGUUGCUGCUCACAGAUGCAGCAACCAUUGUUGGAGGGCUCUCCCUGUCACAAGAUCAUGCUGUCUUGACCUUUGUGCCUCUCAGGCAUGGCAAAGUUGUGGCCAAUGACAAGUGAAAGAAAUAUGGUCCAGCGUGUGAUUUCCUGAUUUUCUUCCAAAUUGAGGCCACUUUGCAGAAAGAGACUGUUUGCUCAACCUACUCAUUACUUAUCCAUCCUCACUAUUUUUUUUACUGCUUUCUGGUUAUGGCCCGGUAUUCUGACACAGCCCAUAGGGUGUAGAGUUCAGCAAAGAAUGGUCACAGGACUGGGCAGUCACAGGUGGGACCAGAGCAGCCUACAGAAUGUUGUGGUGAUCCAGACCCACAUAUAAACUGAGUCUCCAAGGAGCAGCCAUCACUUGGCGAGGGCCUAGAACUGAGCUGGAAGCAAACCAUGAGUUAAUGAGUGAUGGGAUGAAUGACUGAACGGAUGAGGAGCUUGUCCCUUAGAUGACCUAAGCAGGGAAGGCCCUCCUGAGGAGAUGUAUCAGUUAGGGUUCACUAGAGGAACAGAUCUAUCUAUCUAUCUAUCUAUCUAUUAUCUGUCUACUAUCAACGGUCUAUCAUCUAUCUAUCUAUAUCUCUAGUCAAAUAUAUGAAGGAUUUACUAGGUAGGCUUAAAUAACUGCCUAUGGAAUCAGGGGCAGAAGAAGGAAAAAUGGCCAUCUGUACUCUGGAGAAUCGGAGCAGGUUAAAAUCCUGGUGAUCACUGCAGAGCCUGGGAUGAGUCUGUAUUGGGCAAUCAAGGGGUCUGUGUUGGAAGGCUGAAGGGUCAGUGCUGGUAGUCUGAAGCAACUGGAGAGAAACAUCCAAAGGUGAUGGUAAAGACCAGUGCUCUUCCAAAGAAGCAAAGGAAAGACUUCCUUCUUUCUCUUUUUAUUCCACCAAGGCUACAAGCCUGUUAUGGCUGUGUCUAGAUAUUCCCCCACCAAAGUCUCAUGUCGUCAUAGGUGGGGCUUUUCAGAGGUGGCUGGAUCUAGGAUGUGUGAUGCUGGGAUCAAGGAUGUGAUGCUGGGAUUGAUUCAGGGUAUGAAGCUAGGAUCAAGGUUGCCCCAUUCAGGGUGCGAGUGCUACUCUCCCUAAGUGUGGGUAGUCUGGAUAAAAUAUAAGAGACAAAAAGAGUGUCAUUGCUUGCUGCUUGUUGCUUCUGCCUGCCAAGAUCUGUUUCUCCUCUGUGAUGCCCACUGCCAUGCCACCCUGCCUUAGAGCCAGCCAACUGUGAACUGAAACCUUUACAAACUGGGAGCCAAAAUAAACCUCUCCUCAUUUGAGUGUCAGGUAUUUUGUCUCAGCAAGGAGAAAAGUAACUCAGACAAAGCCUAUGUAUUGGUUGGUACAACCCACAUCCAGGGUGGGUCUUCCCUCAGCUUGUAGCCUACAUGUCAACCAUCCAAGGACACACCUGAGUUUUAUUAAUCUAGACAGUUCUUACUCAAGAAAGGUUUACAUGUCACAAUUAAUGAUCACAGGAGGUGAUGUUUGGGGUGAGUCCUCACAGUGACCAGGUAUUUGGCUUCCAUAUACUGAAAGCUCUCACAUCCACCUCGGAUGCAUGUGCUGCAGACUUCUUUUUCUGCAGUGGUGAUUAUAUGCCUGUCACCUGCUGUGGCCUCUUGCUUCCCUGUCACCUGUCUCCACUCCUUUUAGGAAGAAUACUCCUCCCACAGUAGGGGGACUUUUCAAAUACAGAACAACAAACCUAGUCUUAUCUUACUCCCUUGGAAAGUUUGUGAGAAUUAUAAGGUUCAAAACUUUGUUAAGAGUGAGGCACAAGGCUGGAUAAUCACUGAUGUUAAAUGCAUCAUCUUGGUUUUAUUUCAUUUUCACCCUCAGCCAUGUGUUGUCAUCUUGGGGAUCUCUUUGGUGAAAGUUAGGGCCCACUGAUGCUCAUGGGGGUCUGUGAGUCCAGAGCCCUUCACUUCCCUCAGUCAUACUUUAUGAAUCAUGUAAAAUUAUACUCUUUUGUCCCCUAUAACUGGAGAACAAAGAGGGAUCAUCCUGGAUUUUCCUUCCCCUCCACCCAGAUCUGCUGUUUCCUGAGGUUCUGUCUUCUCUCUGGUGUCUUCCUUGGCUUGCAUAUUGUGUCUAUUCUGGAGACCAUUCCCUGGAAAGGAAGCAAAUAGAGGUCAACAGUGAUAUUUUUCUACAUGGUAAAUGCUUUUAAUUCCAUAUUCAUGGUGGAUUGAAAAUUAGUUGGAUAUAUAUGUUGGGUUGGGAAGUAUUUUGAGCAGACAUUGUUUUCCCAGAAUUUUGGUGGCCUUGCUCAUUUCCUUUCAAGCUCCAUUUCUAUGUCGCCAAUGAAAAUAUGAAGCUACCAUGAUAUUUAAUUGAUUCAUGUAACCCAUAUUUUUUUCUCUGGGAGCUAGUGUUAUUUAAUCUCCAUCCCAGUGUUCUAAAAUUCAAUUUCCUUCCAUUUGUCUUGUCUUAGUCACUUUUCUCAUCUCUGGGACAAAUACCCAGCAUCUGCAACUUAAAAGAGGAGAGCUUUACUUUGGCUCACAUGUACAGCCACAGUUGGCUGGCCCCAAGGCAGAAUGGCAUGGAGGAGGAGAAGUUGCUCACCUCAGUGGUUAGGAAGCAGACAGAGAAUGAAGGGAGGAGCUGGUAGGGAGAUAAACCCUUCUGGGCCACACCCCAGGUACGCUCCUCUUCCAACCUUACCUCCUGACAGCAAGUCAGCUGCAAACCCCAUGAUCCAGUCACCUUCCAAAAGUCCUGUCUAUAAGCACAUGAAGCUUGAGGGCUAUCUUUUGUUUUUUUUGUACUGGGGAUCAAAUUCAGGGCCUUGUGCUUGCGAGGCAGGCACCAGAACCACUGAACUAAAUCCCUGGCCCGUGAGGGACAUCUUAAUAUAAACUAUAGCAAGUUUGCACUGAAAAUCUGAUGGAUUCUUAUCAUCCAGACAUUUCCCUCAGUCCUGGGAAAUUUCUCACUGUUAUUCCAUUGAUUUUUUCCUUCACCAUGUUCUGUGUGGGAACAACUAUUAUCUUUUCACUGGACUAAUCCUAAAAAUCAGUUCCACUUUCUGGGGUAUUUCUUUAUUUUACUUCUAAAUUUUCCUUUGAGGAUUCCACAAAAACCAUUCCGGGGAUGGAAUUGAGGACCUCCCUCUUUCUUUCUUUCUUUCUUUCUUUCUUUCUUUCUUUCUUUCUUUCUUUCUUUCUUUCUUUCUUUCUUUCUUUCUUUCUCUCAAAUUGGCUUAACUACUAAAUACUUAGUGUGGACAUCCCCUGAGCAAUGUAUAAAAAGUGUAACUUUACAGAUCAAAGACUGGUUUGCAACAGAUUGGUUUAAUCACCCUAGAGUUAGAUGGGAAGCCCCCAAAGGCACUCAUUGGUCCUGUGGAACCAAUUUGUGGCCCUGGCCACACCCCUGGAUGUUAAGGGAGGUGCACACUGGGAUUUGUGGGGUCACAAGGCGAGAGUGUAAAAAGUAUCCACAAAUUUGCAAACAUCUCAUCUAUAACUUCGAUGGUCUGGAAGUGUGUUUCACUGGUAUGAUCAUUUGGCUUCUAUCUGUAUCCCUUCCCUAUGAUUAGAGAUUGUCAUGCAACACAUUGAGGUCUUUACUAACUAUACUCAACAGGCCUUAAAAGACACCUUAGUUUGGUCUCUCUCUCCUAAAUGAAACAGUACAAUGAAUAAGUGAAACCAUUUCCAAAAUUCGAUGGCAUUAGGCAUCCUGACAGUAGAAAAGGGGGUUAUUUGUGUAAUUGUAAAAGUGGAAUGUUGUGUGUAGAUUCCUGAUACUUCUGCACAUAUCUCAAUGGGUGUUCAAGAUAGUAACAACAGGCCAAGGCCAUGUCAAAUUCUGAGAUUCCUUGUACCUUCUUUUUAACAUUUUUGUAGAAGGCUAUUAUUGGCUCUUCUUGGUGGAAACAUUUGUUGGUUAUAUUCAUACUAGUCUCAUCGAUCUUACUGUUUGGCCCAUAACUUAACUGUUUCUUUGGCCUUGUAUCCUCCAGACUGAAGGCUAUAUGCCUACCUAUGACAAGAAUGCCUGACAUCUAUGGAGAGCCUUUAGAAAAACUCUCUGGAGAGUAUCUCUGAUUGCCAAUCACAAUUACCACCCCCUUCAGCCUGAAGUAGCCAGAAGAGUCAUUGCCUCUUGCCUCCUCAUGGCAGUUCUGGAUACGUCUGCAGAGGGUGGAAGAUUAUAGACAGCUAAGCCAGCUAGAAAUAUUCGAGGCAGCCAGAUAAGGAUAGGCCCUCAAGAGAGUCAGGAUAAAGGCGAAAGACAUCAUAACUGUGGCCAGAGACACAUUUGUUGGAGACCAGGCCUCAAGACAAUGACCAUGUCUGCAUACUUCCUCAAAAGACAAACACUGGGCCUAAUAAAGUCUAGGUAGACAUCAGUCACCCAGUAGGUGACCAGGACCUCUAGACCCAUCAUUUCCUAGAAAGCAGUCUUUGUUCUUUCCAUGCACCUUUGUUAGGUGCCUUGUUUCCCCAUGAGAUUACUAUUACCUAAGUGAUUAUACUUAUAAUCUUAUUCGUUAGUCAUAGCUGUAACCCACACUGUUCUCAUGUGAAUUUUGCUCUAGAAAACUUCCCUAUAAAGUGGGGUCCCUGGUUACCCAUUCAGGACCCCUCCUGUCUCUCAGGAGGUAUCUUCUCAAAAAUAUUUUACUACUCUUAAUCUCCAUUGUAUCUAGAAUUCUUUCUUUGAUUUUUAGAGAACAUGAACUCAGCAUAUCAGACAUCUAACAAGUUAGGAGAUAGAAUAUUUUCAUAUUUCAUCUCCUGUAUCAAUAUCACCUUGUAGCAAUUUGCUGGUAUCAUUAAAUUAUGUCUAGUGAAUUAAUGUCAUAGUAACUUGAGGAUAAAAUUUAUGGAGAAUUUUCCAAACUUGCAGGUACAUAACCAAUGUUAAAAUAUUAUUUUAUAAAAUGUUAUAUUCUGUGUACAUACAUUAUACACUAUGCACAUGACAUUAAAUUAUUUAUCAAAGUCAUCAACAUGUUUAUUCAGGAUUUAUGUUUUCUUUUUCUUGAUUUGAUUUUUAGUGGCUUCUCUGAAGUAAGUCUGAUAUAAAAUUAACAGUAUAAAACAAAAUCAUAUAAAUUGAUAAAUAUCAAUGUGGUCCUCUAAAUUUUCUUUCUGAAUUUGCUGUGUAAUGCCUCGUUCCUGCUUCUUCUUGGCCCUGGUCUAUCCCCACAAAAUCAGUGAUGUACGUCCUGUCUUUCAGAGGUUGACACUGGGUAAGAGCUCUAGCUUUUGUGAAUAUGAUUGGAACAGUGGCCUCUGUUUCUUCAAAGAGAGUAAUAGUAUUAAAUUAUCUGUUAUGACUUGUCAACUAAUGUAACAAAGUAAAUGUUUCACAGAAAAAUCAUAGCUACAUAUAUUUCAGCAAUCCAACAGAAAUUCAAAGAAUUUGCUUAAGUGAAGUGAAAUUAUCACCAGUGAACAUUUAUUGUCUUUCCCACCUGGAUGUGAACCACUUGAUCAUUCGUUUUUCAGUGCUCAUUAGCACCAAAGGACAUAUUGUGGCAUAGCCAUUGCUCACAAACAUCUGGACACAAUGAUGAAUUGGGCUUUUGUUCCACAAUAUUGCAGAGGAGGAAAAGGUAAUACAAUCAAAAAAGUACAUAAAGAUAAAGAAACCCAUGAGCAGCAGAAUGGUCUGAGUGGCUUUUUCUUCUGGGGAUGCCUUUGGAGAAAGGCUGGUGCUGUAAAGAUGUUGGAACUGCCUCUUAUGCCUGAACAAGAGCGUCACCAUGUAUCCACUUGAGACAGCCAUCAGGCCUAUAAAGGAGAUAUCCUGAAUGUUUGCCAAUGUUAAAAAUAUGUACCUGAACAAGUAACUAAUUGGCCAGAGGGAGCAAGAUUCAGUGACAAACAUGAGACUGUGUGAAGUCACAUUGGGGUUGGCACCAAUGGAGACUAAGAAGCGACCGUUCAGGAGCAUAUUGAAGACCCAUAAAAAGACAAGGCAACGUGGGUAGUGAUGUGUGGAUUUGUGUUUGAACUUUGCCAAGUAAGAGUUCCUGGGGCUGAGGGUGAUGGCCUGGAGGACACUCAGCAGGCAGGUGGUACAGAUGGAGAGGGCCCUCAUCAACCUGUACACAUAGAUAACUGAUUUACAUGUGAGAUCAUUCUCCCAACCCUGAAACCCAAAAGUGUCUGUAGCUAUGAACACCAGGGUUACCAGCAUCAUCAGGUGGAUUAGGGCCAACUGACCAAUAGUCAGGUCCAGGGGCUUGGGCCUGUGCUUGAGAAGAAAUGCGAGGAUGUGGAACAGAAGCAGGGCAGUGUUGGCUAUGAUCCCAAUGGUGACUUCAAAGAAAACUGUGUUUCUUAUGCCUGAAAGACUGGACAAGUUUUUCUUUUUAUUCACCUUGAUAGAGAAAGAAUAACAAUACAUGUCUGAGAAAAAAAGGAGAAACAUUCACAAAAAUCACCACCAUCGUCAAUCUCAGUCAACAUUGUGCCUUUAUCAGAACAUGUGAAUUGCUCCCUGUGCGUUCUUUCUCCUUCGAACUCACACCUACCUGGAUGCACCACUGUUCUCUCCCCUGUCUCAGUGCUUCCCAGUGGGGGCUGUAUUACGUGUUUUAUUUCUGGCUUCCCAUAGCAACUCUGUAAGGAGACUGUCAUAUAGUACAGAAGGUACUUCCUCAUUUUGGUCUCAUUUUUUUGUUUUCAGAAUGGAACACAAUAUUUUAUAUGUCCAGAAAGUAGAUGAGGUGCUGGAUAUGUUGUAAGUCCUUUACCUUUUAUAGUAAAAUUUGGGAAAAGAGAAUUGCCCGUACCAUAUAUGAAAAUAAAAUUCUCCCAAGUAAUAAUUAUUGACAGGAUAGACAUGCACAGGUAUGUUCUUUCUGUGCUAUCUUUACUCUGGUUUAUUGUCAGAACAAAUAUUUAUAGAGAAAAUGUUGCUUAGUAGAUUCUGGAGACAAGUGACUCCAAUUUACAUCUCUGGUCUGACAUUUAUCAAAUGCAGGAUGUGGAAAGUUAGUUAAUGCAUCUGAGCCACAGUAGCCUGAUGUGAAAAAUGUGGAUAAUUAUAUCACUUCUUACCUAGAGAUAUUAUGUGUACACAUGUAGCAAAUAUGGUAUGACAACGGAAUGUCAGUUAUUAUUGUUGUUAUUGCAUAGCUCCUUAUACGUGUAACUUGAGAAAUUUGACUCAAUAUAUAAAAUAAUCCACCACAAGUGUGCCAAAAAGAGCAAGGAGAAAUGAAUGCCAAAGUACUAGACUUUAAAAAAUUUCCAUGUAUAAGGCGCAAGAAAUUAAGUAGGCUGUUUUGGAAAUUUCCACAACUAUACCGCUCAUGUAUUUUAGAAACUCAUGCCAGUAAAUGUAAGACUCAGCCAUCAUAGUGGAGGUAUUACUAUCAGGAUGACACAUUCCAUAUUUCAUUUCACUCCAUCACAAGCAUGUGGAAUGAGAUUAAUAAAUGCUACCACAUUUCAAGGAAAUUGUGAUGAUUCUUUCCUAGUGUUUUAAUUAGAUCAAUGGGAUACAUUUCAACCCUCAAGGUGGUUCAACAUUGGUCCAAAAUUUUAUGACUUCUUGAAGCCAGAAAGUAUAAUUCUGCAGAGCUGUGGGCUCAAGUGUAGAUUUUAUACUGAAGAAUUUGGUGAAUGCCAACUUGUAGAGUAUCUCCCUGUGUGAUGCAUCUAUUUGCUUUAAUUGAGGUAUAAUUUGAGAGUCCUAACAUGGUAACAUGGGCACAGGCACAUAUUCUCACAAAUUUAUCAUCUGAACAUCAUAGAUUAAGAUUAGAUUUGCACAGCUACUCAGAACAUAUGUUUUAAAAGUAACUGAGAGGAACCUGAAAUAUUUAUGCACCAUGAACUAAUGAUCACAUUGAAGCAUUCAGAGGUAAGUGUACUUGGUGUAAAUCCUAUGAAGCUUUGGUUUAUAAAAUAGAAAUUUCUUAGUCAGAAUUAGAAAAAUGUAAUAUUUUCCAAAGUAGUGGUAAAGUGACACAAUUUUCUCCAUUUAUGCAGUCAGCAAAUUAGAGUUUGUUUCUGUUACAUGAUGAGGUAUGACAUAAAAAAAAUACACAUCUGACUAUCAGGUGGCUCUGACUCUUGUAGAUCAUGUGCUGCCACUAAGUGCACUUCCUCAAUGGUCUUCUUGGUCUUUCAUGUACUUAAAAAUAAGAGACUUUUAUUUCCUGUACACCUAUUUCAUGUAAGUUACAAAAUGUAUACUGAUAAUAUUUGAAAGAAAUAACAUUAGUUUGGUUCACAACAUCAUUUAAAGAUAAUAUUUUAAAAGAAUUACUUGAAAAAAUAAAAUAUAAAUCAUAAA